ACAUAUUAAAGUAUUAAUGUUAACAGAAACAUGGAUGCAUAAUGAAAAAAUAAAGCAUAAAAAGAUACAUAAAUAGCGCACAAAAUUCAAAAGGGCAAUGAAGGAGAAAUCCAAAGAUUUACUCUCAGCCACAACCAGAAGAAAAGUCAACGAGAUUCUUGUCUCAAGUCAACUAUCUCAUCUCAAAGUGAAGUCAACUAGAUUCCCGUCAGAAGUAAGCAUAGAAGAUUUCCCCUCAACGAAAGGUCAACAUAGCUGUCCUGUAGUGCCAUCAGUCAUUCAGUAUUUGAACUCUCUAAAGAAGUAACGAACUAUUAUUCAUCGAAG
rnacentral:lncRNA from 1 species